AUCCACAUUUGGAAACUCUUGAUGGUUUCAGCUACGACUAUUUUGAUAUCGGAGAGUUUUGGUAUUGCAAAAGUCGUGACAAUGACUUUGGAGUUGCAACACGAUUUUUCAAGUAUCAACGAGUGUCACUCAUUGGGGCUGUAGCAAUCAAGGUGGAAACUAAUAUUGUAACAAUUACAACUCCACACAAUCCUUCUCCAAAUGAUCUCCCUUUUGUGAGAAUUAAUGGUGUUGUCGUGGCUCCACUAAACGAAGAGAAGCUGAGUUUAGCUAAUGGCAGAGUGCAUAUGGAAGCCAC